UUACGGCCACAUCACGUUGAAACACCGGUACACGUAGGAUCACCGAAGUUAAGCAACAUUGAGCCUGGUUAGUAUCUAGACUGGUGGCCUCAGGCGAAUACCAAGUGCUGUAAG